GGCGACUGCGUGGCAGCACGGGCCGCUUCCUUAUCCGGUUAUUGGGGAAGCUGGUGGUGUUUGGUUACAUGAGUAAGUUCUUUUGUGGUGAUUUGUGAGAUUUCAUUGCACCCAUUGCCCAAGCAGUAUACACUGAACCCUAUUUGUAGUCUUUGCUCCCUCACCCCCUUCCCACCCUUUCCCCCUGAUUCCCCAAGUCCAUUGUGUCAUUCUUAUUGCGGGAAGUCAAGAACCCCAAACGGAGGGACCAGCUGAAGCUGCAGCAGAAGAACAUAAAUUGUGAAGAUUUCAUGGACAUUUAUUAGUUCCCAGAAUUAAUACUUUUAUAAUUUCUUAUGCCUGUCUUACUUUAAUCUCUUAAUCCCAUCAUCUUCAUAAGCUGAGGAUGUGUGUUGCCUCAGGACCCUGUGAUGAUUGCAUUAACGGUACAAAUUGUGUGUAAAACAUAUGUGUUUGAACAAUAUGAAACUGAUUGUAAAACAUGGGUGUUUGAACAAUAUGAAAUCAGUGCACCCUGAAAAAGAACAGAAUAACAGUGAUUUUCAGGGAACGAGGGAGGAUAAAGGUCUGACUGCCUGUGGGGUCAGGCAGAAUACAGCCAUAUUUUUCUUUCUGCAGAAAGCGAGUAGGAGAAAUAUCACUGAAUUCUUUUCUCAGCAAGGAAUAAACCUGGGGAAGGAAUGCAUUCUUGGGGGGAGGUCUAUAGAUGGCCACUCUGGGAGUGUCUGUCUUAUGCGGUUGAGAUAAGGGCUGAAAUACGCCCUGGUCUCUUGCAGUACCCUCAGGCUUACUGGGAUUGGAAAAUUCCAGCCUGGUAAAUUCUAGUCAGACCAGUUCUCUGCUUUCGAACCCUGUUUCCUGUUAAGAUGUUUAUCAAGACAAUGCAUGCACAGUGGGACAUAGACCUCCAUCAGUAUUUCUAAUUUUGCCUUGCCUUGUGAUCUUUAUUGCCCGUUGAAGCAUGUAAUCCUUGUGACCUACUCCCUGUUUGUACACCCCCUCCCUUUCUAAAAUCCCUAAUAAAAACUUGCUGAUUUUGCGGCUCGGCGUCACCAUCAUGGUCCUACUAAUAUGUGAUGGCACUCCCGGAGGCCCAGCUGUAAAAUUU
rnacentral:lncRNA from 1 species